GAGUGGAUGGGGGCCGAGAUGGCCUUCUUCCUUCCUCUUUUUCUCCCUCCGGGGCUGAGGGGAGGGUUUGGGGAGAGUAGGAUAGAGUGGAGCUGGGUACGUGGGGUAGCGGCGGACCUGGGGAUGAGGCAACAGUGCUAGGAUAUUGUGAGACUGGAGGCGAGGUCGAGGGGGUGGAGCUAAGUAGAGAAUCUCUGGGGCGCUAGGGUGAGGAGGGGUGAGGAGGUGGAGCCAGGGCGGGGUUGGGAUUUGGAGGUGGACCCCAGGGGUGUGAGGAAGUAAUCUAAGAGUAAUGGGGUGGGGCUACGUUCAAGGGGCAGGGCUGAAGGCAGGACUAGGAGUUUAAAUAGGUCAAGUAAGAAUGGGAGAGGGGUAGAAUCAUGGAUGUAGCUGUGGGCAGGAUUGGAGUUUUGAGGUCUAACCAAGUAGGGUAAAUUAGAAUAGAAAUGCAGAUUCCAUUAGAACGGCCCAACCCCGUCUCCACCUCCAUCACCGCAAGCCAGGUUGCCAACCAGGGACCUUCCCAGGAGCGGGGUUAGAGUCUGGGGCAGAGCCAAGGAAGAUCUGAGGCGGGCACCGAGGGCCAGGAGACCGCGGAGAUCACCGACUUCCAGAGGGCCUCCCCGAAUUCCUGAAGACGCUGCUGGGAGGGCACUGAAGCUUCCCCGCCUUGAUGGGGUGGGGGCGGCAGGAGGGGGUUAGUCUGGAUUCCCAGGCUGCGCUCUCUGCUCCCCGGAGACCGCUCUGGAUCCCAUGGCUUUAGGGAGAGGGAGAAAUUGAGGGUGGUGGGGAGGAGUUGGGGAAGGGGCGUGAUUGGGUUGUGGGGCAGAGCUGGAGCUUCGGGGUGUGUUUAGACCUCAGGACACUAAGUACUAAGAAGGUCCCGUCGGGGGAGUGGUUAGGAUGCCUGGGCGGGGCCAGAAUUCUGGUGGAUGGAGUUAGAACAUAGGACGCCCGUAGAUGUGGGAUGGGUCCGCGAGAGCCGGUUUAGAUGGGAGUUCCUAAUGCGGGUGUGGGGUUCAGCCCUCGGUCGAGGGCGUGUUCAGUACGGUGCUAGAACCAGUGGAGUGAGGCGGAGGAAAGGGGUGGAGUCUGGACUAAAGAGCGUGAAUCCAGGGAGGAAAGAGGGUGCUUUCGAAUGCUAGAGUCGAGUCUGAUUCAGAGAAAGGCAAGUUAGAAGCGGAGCGGGCCUGCGGCUAAGGGGGGGGUGCUUUGUAAGGCCUGAACCUCGCAAGGUCGUGGGGCUCGGAGGCGGGGCUAGAUGCCAGAGAGAAGUCUGAGCCCCGAAAAGGGACGAGGUUAGGGCAGGGGGAGGAGGCCAGAAAGGGGAGGGUGGGGCCAGGCGCUUGGCGGGCUCGCAGGUAAGAGGUGUGGGCAUCACACCGAAGCCUGACGGUAGUCGAAAGAGCAGAGAGCUGUCUUCGCAGGCCUGGGGCGGGGUCAGAGCUAAGUAAGGGGUGGGUUCGGAACACUAGUUAAGCCUUAGCUUGUAAUGGUUGGCUGGAGAACGGCGAGGGGGCGGUCCCAGAGCGGGGAGGAGACCCGCCCUCCCGGGGGCGUGACCAUGCUGGCGGGGGCGGGGUUGGACGAGGUAGAUUUAGAACGCGGAGGC